CUGGGAACCGGCUGAUGAGGCCUGGGUAGUUGUACUGAGAGCCAAAGCCUGAGUGUCAAUGACCUGUUCAGGUGCAGAGCAAGCAGGCCUGCACCGUGGGGAAUCAUGUGGUGCAGACCUGGGGUCAGAACACAGGGUGGACUUCGGGGAAGGUAAAACUCGGGGCUGACGUGGGCGCCGCGCGGGGAAUGGUGGGGAAGUCUGCAGUGCAGCAGCUGGACCCGCCUCCCUACCGCCCUGGAUCCUCCCAGGGUUCACUGAUCACCCAGACCUGCUUAUCUGUGGAAACCUAGAAGGUGGAGAGGGAGGAGACAGUACCUAAGGAUCCAGGUUGUGAUGGUUUGUAUAUGGUUGGCCCAGGGAGUGGCAUUUUUUGGAGGUGUGGCCUUCUUGAUGUAGGUAUGCCACUAUAGGCUUGGGCUUUAAAACCUUCAUCAUAGCUGCCUGGAAGCCAGUCUUCUAGCUACGUUCAGAUGAAGAGAAGAACUCUUAGAUCCUCUUGCACGAUGCCUGCCUGGACACUGUCAAACCCCCACCUUGAUGAUAAUGAACUGAACUUCUGAACCUGUAAGCCAGCCCCAACUAAAUAUCCUUUUAAGGGUUGUGUUGGUCAUGGUAUCUGUUUAUAGCAGUAAAACCCUAACUAAGACAGAAGUCAUACUGUCCCUCCUCCAUAAUUAAAUCUAUUCCACCAUUCUUCCAUUUUUCCUCUUUAGAUCCUUUAGUUCCCUGUUAUUCCCCUUUCUAUUAUUCCCCCACAUUCCACAAUGAUCUGCUUUUAGUUUUCUGGUUACUGCAGGUACUCCAGGUUGUGAACUCACAUCAGAAGUUUUGGAUCUAGAAACUUCCUAUGAGAGAGAAGAUGCAAUGCCUGUCUUUCUGGUUCUGGGUUACUCCACUGACUGUGAUCUUUUAUUAGGCCACCUAUUUACCUGCAACACUCCUGACUUUAAUUUUCUUUACAGCUUAAUAAUAUUCCAUAGUGUAUAUGCACCACAUUUCCACUCUCCAUUUGUCCAUUGAAGGCCAUUUAAAUUGUUCCCCUUUUUAAAGCUAUUGUGAGUAGAGCAGCAGUGAACAUCUGUGGAGUAGGACAUUGAUUCCCUUGAACACAUGCAAAGGAGUAGAAGAGCUGUGUCACAUGCUAGAUUUAUUUAACUUGAGGAUUUGUUUAUUUAACUGGUUUGUCCAUAUUGAUACCCACAGUGGCUACAUUUUUUGUUCAUGGGAGUUUUAUUCCUCAUGCUUAUUGUUGUUUAUUAUUUAUUUAUGUUGUUGGUAGGAUUAUGGGUGCUAUUAUUCUUUCUCUGUGAGAACUAGUAUUUUUGCUGUUUUGCUUAUGGAUGAUUACUUCUUAGUUCUCC
rnacentral:lncRNA from 1 species